rnacentral:rRNA from 1 species
AGAGUUUGAUCAUGGCUCAGAUUGAACGCUGGCGGCAGGCUUAACACAUGCAAGUCGAGCGGUAACAGGGGUAGCUUGCUACCCGCUGACGAGCGGCGGACGGGUGAGUAAUGCUUAGGAAUCUGCCCAGUAGUGGGGGAUAGCCCGGGGAAACCCGGAUUAAUACCGCAUACGUCCUACGGGAGAAAGCAGGGGAUCUUCGGACCUUGCGCUAUUGGAUGAGCCUAAGUCGGAUUAGCUAGUUGGUGGGGUAAAGGCCUACCAAGGCGACGAUCCGUAGCUGGUCUGAGAGGAUGAUCAGCCACAUCGGGACUGAGACACGGCCCGAACUCCUACGGGAGGCAGCAGUGGGGAAUAUUGGACAAUGGGGGCAACCCUGAUCCAGCCAUGCCGCGUGUGUGAAGAAGGCUUUCGGGUUGUAAAGCACUUUCAGUAGGGAGGAAAACCUUAUGGCUAAUACCCAUGAGGCUUGACGUUACCUACAGAAGAAGCACCGGCUAACUCCGUGCCAGCAGCCGCGGUAAUACGGAGGGUGCAAGCGUUAAUCGGAAUUACUGGGCGUAAAGCGCGCGUAGGUGGUUUGGUAAGCGAGAUGUGAAAGCCCCGGGCUUAACCUGGGAACGGCAUUUCGAACUGUCAGACUAGAGUGUGGUAGAGGGUAGUGGAAUUUCCUGUGUAGCGGUGAAAUGCGUAGAUAUAGGAAGGAACACCAGUGGCGAAGGCGGCUACCUGGACCAACACUGACACUGAGGUGCGAAAGCGUGGGG